rnacentral:rRNA from 1 species
AUGGAUAAGUCUCAAGUUUUAACUGGAGGGCCUGAGACAUUCGCAAAAAAGUGUUUCAUCAUGCAAACGCACAGCAAACUGUGUGUCUCCGCACUUACUACUCUAUCUGGACUCCAAGAGUGGGCAGACCUCCCAGAUGGUUUGUUGCACACUAUUCUUCCUCUCUUAGGCUCUGUACGUGAUCUUCUUGCCUUUUCUGCAACAUGCCGCUCUUGGCAUGUUGCAUUCUUGUCAUACCCAUCCAAAUCUACCCUCUGCACCCUGUUCCCCCCUCUCCUCAUCCAAACCAACAUCCGUGUUGAUGCUCCUCACGUUCCAUCUAACGAUAUUCAUUGCAAGUUGCGCACCUGUAAGGUCAUUGACCCAUCCAACCAAAACAUCACUCUUCGCUGCCAGAUUGAUGAAGAAAUUCUACAAAAGAUGUAUUGUGUUGGCCCUUCCUAUGGUCAUCUCAUCUUCUUUUGCUCCCGUGGAUAUUGUCUUGUUGUUGACCCUUUCAGUGGUUCCAAAGUUUCACCCCCACGUCUUCCAAUCAGUGGCUGCGAGCGGGUUAGUCCUACCAAAAUACAUGCUCAACAUUCAGAGAUUGCGGAGUUGUACUUCUUCGGUGUUCUAACAGCUCCCAUUACAUCACCCAAUUCACAUCUCCUUGUGGGCACUCGAUUCUCUCUAUUUGAUUGGCCAGUUGGAAGUGACUCUUGGUCAGAACUCAAACUUCCUUGUGGUGCACAAUAA